rnacentral:misc_RNA from 1 species
AGAGAGGCUGAUUUUGAUGGAGAUUGCUUGAAGGCUCUGCUGAGAGAGAGACUAGAGUGCAACUGAUCUCUGGAGCAAACAACUUUGUCGCCUCUACCAUGGCUAUAGCUUUAUUAUGGGUGGUUCCGACCUCAACUAGCAUCGGAUUCAGACUUACCAACAAGUGCUCGAGGCCUGAUAGGAGACUGAGGAAAGAAAGAUUGAGGUGGCGUACUGAUAUGGUAGUUUCGAGCUUGGUGGCAAAUCCAGCAGGAGAUGUGUUGUCAUCAGAGCGGAAGGUGUAUGAUGUCGUGCUAAAACAGGCCGCGCUGGUGAAGGAACUGGCGAGGGGGACUAAUGGUCCUUCAAUGGAUGUGAAGCCGGAGCUUGGCUUGCCGGGGGCAGCGGGGUUGUUGAGG